rnacentral:rRNA from 1 species
UUAGCGGCGGACGGGUGAGUAACACGUGGGUAACCUGCCCGUAAGACUGGGAUAACUCCGGGAAACCGGGGCUAAUACCGGAUGGACAUUUUGAACCGCAUGGUUCAGACAUAAAAGGUGGCUUCGGCUAUCACUUACAGAUGGACCCGCGUCGCAUUAGCUAGUUGGUGAGGUAACGGCUCACCAAGGCAACGAUGCGUAGCCGACCUGAGAGGGUGAUCGGCCACACUGGGACUGAGACACGGCCCAGACUCCUACGGGAGGCAGCAGUAGGGAAUCUUCCGCAAUGGACGAAAGUCUGACGGAGCAACGCCGCGUGAGUGAUGAAGGCUUUCGGAUCGUAAAACUCUGUUGUUAGGGAAGAACAAGUGCCGUUCAAAUAGGGCGGCACCUUGACGGUACCUAACCAGAAAGCCACGGCUAACUACGUGCCAGCAGCCGCGGUAAUACGUAGGUGGCAAGCGUUGUCCGGAAUUAUUGGGCGUAAAGGGCGCGCAGGCGGUUUCUUAAGUCUGAUGUGAAAGCCCCCGGCUCAACCGGGGAGGGUCAUUGGAAACUGGGGAACUUGAGUGCAGAAGAGGAAAGUGGAAUUCCACGUGUAGCGGUGAAAUGCGUAGAGAUGUGGAGGAACACCAGUGGCGAAGGCGACUUUCUGGUCUGUAACUGACAGCUGAGGCAGCGAAAGCGUGGGGAGCAGAACAGGUAUUAGAUACCCUGGUAGUCCACGCCGUAAACGAUGAGUGCUAAGUGUUAGGGGGUUUCCGCCCCUUAGUGCUGCAAGCUAACGCAUUAAGCACUCCGCCUGGGGAGUACGGCCGCAAGGCUGAAACUCAAAGGAAUUGACGGGGGCCCGCACAAGCGGUGGAGCAUGUGGUUUAAUUCGAAGCAACGCGAAGAACCUUACCAGGUCUUGACAUCCUCUGACAAUCCUAGAGAUAGGGCUUCCCCUUCGGGGGCAGAGUGACAGGUGGUGCAUGGUUGUCGUCAGCUCGUGUCGUGAGAUGUUGGGUUAAGUCCCGCAACGAGCGCAACCCUUGAUCUUAGUUGCCAUCAUUCAGUUGGGCACUCUAAGGUGACUGCCGGUGACAAACCGGAGGAAGGUGGGGAUGACGUCAAAUCAUCAUGCCCCUUAUGACCUGGGCUACAC